rnacentral:rRNA from 1 species
UGGGUCUCGCUCGUUACCUGACUUAACAGGAUGCUUCACAGUACGAACUGACGACGGCCAUGCACCACCUCUCAGCUAAUCCGGCAAAGUCUUCAGCCUGGCCUUCAUAUUGCUGUCGGUCCCGGUAAGAUUUCCGGCGUUGAAUCCAAUUAAACCGCAAGCUCCACCCGUUGUGGUGCUCCCCCGCCAAUUCCUUUAAGUUUCAGCCUUGCGGCCGUACUUCCCAGGUGGCUCGCUUCACGGCUUCCCUACGGCACCGACAACGGUCGCACCGUGGCCGACACCUAGCGAGUAUCGUUUACGGCUAGGACUACCCGGGUAUCUAAUCCGGUUCGUGCCCCUAGCUUUCGUCCCUUGCCGUCAGGUCCGUUCUGGUGAGACGCCUUCGCCACUGGUGGUCCUUCAAGGAUUACAAGAUUUCACCCCUACCCCUGAAGUACCUCUCACCUCUCCCGGCCUCGAGCCAGACAGUAUCUCCUGAAAGCCUGACAGUUAAGCUGCCAGAUUUCUCAAGAGACUUAUCCGGCCGGCUACAGACCCUUUAGACCCAAUAAUAACGGUUACCACUCGAGCCGCCGGUGUUACCGCGGCGGCUGGCACCGGUCUUGCCCGGCCCUUGCUAUGAAAUGCUUUUUAGGCAUCUCGACAGCCAGAUUUGUAACCUGGCACUCGAGGUUCCCUUAUCGCUGUUGCCAGCAUUGUAAAGUUUUCGCGCCUGCUGCACCCCGUAGGGCCUGGAUUCGUGUCUCAGAAUCCAUCUCCGGGCUCUUGCUCUCACAACCCGUACCCGUCGUAGGCUAGUAGGUACGCUACACCCACUACUACCUGAUAGGCCGCAGACCCAUCCUUAGGCGCCGGAGCUUUUAAUCUCGAUGCAUUCCAGCAGCCGAGACCUAUCGGGGAUUAUACCCAGUUUCCCGGGUUUAUACCCGACCUAAGGGCAGGUUGUCCACGUGUUACUGAGCAGUACGCCAUGUAUUGCUACAUUCGACUCGCAUGGCUUAGUCGAACCUCGAUAGCAGUAACCUCUGGCAGGAUCAACCGGA